rnacentral:rRNA from 1 species
CGUAGGUGGCAAGCGUUGUCCGGAUUUAUUGGGUUUAAAGGGUGCGUAGGCGGUCUUGUAAGUCAGUGGUGAAAUACGGCAGCUUAACUGUCGAGGUGCCAUUGAUACUGCAGGACUUGAGUACAGACGAGGUAGGCGGAAUUGACGGUGUAGCGGUGAAAUGCUUAGAUAUCGUCAAGAACACCGAUAGCGAAGGCAGCUUACUAGACUGUAACUGACGCUGAUGCACGAAAGUGUGGGGAUCAAACAGGAUUAGAUACCCUGGUAGUCCACACUGUAAACGAUGAUUACUCGAUGUUGGCGAUACACAGCCAGCGUCUUAGCGAAAGCGAUAAGUAAUCCACUGGGGAGUACGCCGGCAACGGUG